UCUGGAUUCCUACUUGUGCUUUUUGGAAGCGUGGCUUUCGACUCUGAAAUCGCAACUUCUUCUAGGAGAAAAGUCAAGAGUGAAGAGCGAAGAAGAUUCAGAGCAGAAUUAGGGUUUCCGAUUGAUUACCCAAACAGCAACAACGACAUCUUCAAUUGUAUAAUUCAUCUUCUUCCCCAUCCAUCAUCGUAUUGGGGUGAGAUGGUUUGAUGAGUGAAUGAUGUUUCAGAACUUGGGGAUUUAUGGUCAGUGAUGGAUUGAAGAAUGAAGAAGAAGAAGACUCGAAACUGCUUAAGGUUUGUUUGAUGAUGAUCCCAACAACAACAUCAAUGGAUCGUUGAUGAAUUAGCAAGAUAUGGUGCAAGUGAUGAUCGGAAGAGGAGGAGCAAGCUGUUUCUUUCCAUGGUGAUUUCAUUUUACUGUACGUGGGCUCGCAUCUUCUGCUUCAUGCCAAGGAGAUCAUAUGCGGGGAUAGCUGGUGAUGUGUGAUUUGCUGAGGUCACUCAAGACGUUUGUGCUUCUCUUCCUUGUCCACUUCAAAUUCUCCCCAUCUCAUAUAAGUUGUGAUGCAUUCUUACACAACGAUGGUCCAAUCCUGUUCUGGAGAUUGGAUUGGGGUUUGUUUCAGGAGUCUAGAUACGAGGACGACGACGGUAUCUAUGAUUUUGUUAAUCUUCUGGAGAGUGUUGGGGAUGAUCGGGGGAGGACGUUGUUUGUUUCAUGGCGUUUCUUGAUUUGACCGAGCAAGUAAAGAUCGCGGAGAUGCUUUCAAGAAUCAAAGCUGAUUCUAUUGGAUUGAUGGUGUUUGACCAAGUACAGGUUAAGAACCACCCAUGGCCUAACGUUGAUGCUCAUAGCAGUGUGCUGCUGAACUAUUAUCAUCUAACCGAAAGCAAGAUAUAGAUACUACACUGUGCCUUUUGGCAGUCUCAAGGAGUCUCGUCAUCUGCUCAAAGCUGAUAUAGGACCGGGCUCUUGGACUCCCACUAGUGCGGCCAAAGAGUGUAAACAUGGUGAGGUUACAUGUCCUCCAAAAGGUGAAACUUUGCAACUUCGUGGGGCUCUUAAGCUCCUCUCUAAACCACCAGAGAUCAGAGAUGGUUUGAACUUUGAAGGAUGAAAAAGACUCUGACGGCUUAAGGUUUCAUUUCAAUCAUCAACGCAAUCCAUACAGAGACAUCUUCAGUGAUCAUAAUGGAAGUCCUAAGACACUCAGAGUUCCGAGUUAUUGUACGUGGGGUCCCAUGAUCUGCUUCAUGCCAAGAUUUAAAGGAUCAUAUGCGGAAAACUGGUGAUGUAUGCUUUGAUGAGCUAGUGAAAUUGAUGGCUGGAGAAGAAGUAUCACUUUGCUACUCAGUUCCUACAUGAAUUUUGCUGGUUGGGCUUGAUACUGUUAAUCUUCUGGAGAGUGUUGGGGUUUUAACAAGAGGAGCGAAGAAUCAGUAUACCUGCAGGUCAGAGAUGGAUUGAAGAAUGAAGAAGAUGACUCAUACUGCUUAAGCAUACACAGACAUCUUUGGUGAUCCUAAUGGAAGUUAUAAGACACUCUGAAUUCUGAGGUACUGUACGUGGGCUCCCAUCAUCUGCUCCAUUGCAAGAUUUGAAGGUCUGAUUGACAACUAAUGUUUUGCUGCAGCAUUUUGGUUUCUACUAUAACAAUGUCUUUGAUGAAUGCAACGACCAAACUGAUAUCGGUAGAGAUCUACACGAUGGAAAGGAAGUCAUUCUCCAGAUUUUACAAUCUUGUUCUUGAAGUCAUCGGCGCCGUGGAGUCCGGUAAGAGUGAAAACCAACCCCGACUCUGACAGCAAUACGUUCUUCGUCCCUACUAACAGUGGA